GGCUGUUCCAAACCUACCCAGGAGAAUACUGUAGGUGAAAAGAUGGCAACAGAUUUUUAAAGCAACACUUGAAGCAGUUGAUUUUUGUCCUUGAUUUUUAGGGUGAGUUUUUUCUUCCUCCUUUUCAUUACACUGAAGCUGGUGUGUUCCCUGGCUGGCCAGUCACCGGGGGCAGGGCAGCGGUGUCCCCCCAGCACCCUCCGUUACCCCCUCCGUGCGUCACCCUCCCCUGAAGAGCUCAGGCUGCCCCCCUGCUUGCUGCAGCUUGUGGAGAGGACAAAGCACAUGCUUCCUAUUAACAGCAGAAGAAAAGGAUAAGGAAGCCAGCACAGGGAAAUACAUUUCAGCCGAAGCAUGAGGCUGCCGUGAGCACUGUCAGCCCUGCUGCCCUCCCCGCUGAGCCACACCUUCCCGGCUGAGUUUCUCUGAGCUGGGGAUCCUCAGUCUUGGACUUUUUUCUACAUCAGACCCAUAGACUCUGGGACAAAGGCACUGCAGUGAAUCCUGGUGACCAGAAAGGGCUAGAAAUGUGGUAGCCUGCUUUUAAUGAACUGAUCAGCUCUCACCGGUGCUGGACCAGCAAGACGGCUGCAUCCCAGGGAUCUCACUCCAUCCUGGUAGCGGAAAAAAAUGUGUAGUUUUGAAUGCAAAUGAUAACUGCUGUGGGAGGGAUCUCAUUUUGCCGUGUGGGAGGAUUACAUGGCAUUAUAUGGGAGAUCUUACAUCAAGGGGACAAAACAGUUUUUCAGCAGGGAUAUUUCUGCAUCUUUUCCAAAAGGAGGAGAAAGAAGAUCUAGAUCCCUUUAAGACAAAUUAUGUUAGUAAAGGAGAAAUCCUUACAACCAAUUAAAAAGGAGAAAUAUCCAUCCAAGAAGCCCAGGAAGCUGUCCAGCACUGCCAUCCAGGUAGAGAAGAUAGAUAUGUUGCAUAAGGGAGGCGCAGAUAGUCGCAUCUGUGCUUCUGUACCCAGAGCAACAUUUUUAAUAGCCACCUUUGACCUAACCCUCAACAGAUUUGCUUAAUCCUUUUAUGAACUAAUUUAUUCUCCCUUAAUGUCCCAAGGAAACAAGUUACAGAAUUUAAUUGCUCGUGAUUUUUUCAACAUAUUACCUAAUAGCAUUUUAUUUUGCUUGUACUUAUAACCCCAGUUCUAAUCCUACUACUGUAAAUGAAACCACUUUUGGUGUUGCAGAUGAUUCAACACCAACAUUAUAUUGCUGAAAUAUGAUUUGUGCAUAUAA